AACCAGCGAGGGAUCAUUA
rnacentral:rRNA from 1 species